GACGAACGCUGGCGGCGUGCUUAACACACGCCAGUCGAACGGAAAGGCCUUUUCGGAGGUACUCGAGUGGCGAACGGGUGAGUAACACGUGGGUGAUCUGCCCUGCACUCUGGGAUAAGCCUGGGAAACUGGGUCUAAUACCGGAUAGGACCGCACUUUAGUGUGUGUGGUGGAAAGUUUUUUCGGUGUAGGAUGAGCCCGCGGCCUAUCAGCUUGUUGGUGGGGUAAUGGCCUACCAAGGCGGCGACGGGUAGCCGGACUGAGAGGUUGGUCGGCCACAUUGGGACUGAGAUACGGCCCAGACUCCUACGGGAGGCAGCAGUGGGGAAUAUUGCACAAUGGGCGCAAGCCUGAUGCAGCGACGCCGCGUGGGGGAUGACGGCCUUCGGGUUGUAAACUCCUUUCGCCAGGGACGAAGCGUUUUGUGACGGUACCUGGAGAAGAAGCACCGGCUAACUACGUG
rnacentral:rRNA from 1 species